AUUGAACGCCGGCGGCAGGCCUAACACAUGCAAGUCGAGCGGAUGAGAGGAGCUUGCUCCUCGAUUCAGCGGCGGACGGGUGAGUAAUGCCUAGGAAUCUGCCUAGUAGUGGGGGACAACGUUUCGAAAGGAACGCUAAUACCGCAUACGUCCUACGGGAGAAAGUGGGGGAUCUUCGGACCUCACGCUAUUAGAUGAGCCUAGGUCGGAUUAGCUAGUUGGUAGGGUAACGGCCUACCAAGGCGACGAUCCGUAACUGGUCUGAGAGGAUGAUCAGUCACACUGGAACUGAGACACGGUCCAGACUCCUACGGGAGGCAGCAGUGGGGAAUAUUGGACAAUGGGCGAAAGCCUGAUCCAGCCAUGCCGCGUGUGUGAAGAAGGCCCUCGGGUCGUAAAGCACUUUAAGUUGGGAGGAAGGGCUUACAGCGAAUACCUGUGAGUUUUGACGUUACCGACAGAAUAAGCACCGGCUAACUUCGUGCCAGCCGCCGCAGUAA
rnacentral:rRNA from 1 species